AGAUCCACAGAAACUGCAUCACUGGAAUGAGUGUUGGACUGCAAUAAAAAAAAAAAAUAUCAUCGCGCCUGGCACAGAUGUGCAAAUAAUGAAGGGACCCUACUGCUACUUGGAGAAGGAAAUAUAAAAUGAUUGAAUGUACGUGUCAAAGAAGUAGUGGAGAGUUCAGAUAAACAUUUUGAAUUAAUACACAAGCCAAAGGGAUGAGCCAAUGGAGCAGUUUUCUCCAGAUUCUUGUAAGAGAAAUUCACCUUGAUGGAUUGCAUCAAAAGUUACUGACCACGUACUCUUGUGUUGGGGGACAGGCUGAGAUGCAGGCUUACCUUUCAGCAUCUGGCCAAAAUCACAGCAUAAAUUAAGGCAGUCCAAAGAGGUACUAUUGCAGGGGAAAAAAAGCCUCCCAAAUGGCAGCUCAACCUGCAAUGUCAAGCUACUUCCUGGAUGCUGCCUCUGGGUCCCUAAUCCCCUGCUCUGUGGGACAAAGUAAGGAAAAGGAGCUGAUGGAAUGUGUCUCCCUUCAUGUAGAGCGAUGGGAUAACGAAGGAUAGCUGUAGGGGAGCUCUCAUGAUGGAUGAGAAACGAGUGGUCCUUGGUUCUGUCACCAGAGGGAGACUCGGGGAUCAAGAUUCAUUUCUGUGGUCUGCCAUAGAUUUCCUACUUGAGCUCAG